GGUGGAGGCUCAUCAUUUUGUCUUGCUAACACUGCUCAUCACAGGUUAAUCAGUGGUGUGCCAUUUACAGCGCUGGACCCUUUACGUCAAUUCUCUUUAUUCCUUAAAACAACGCAAUGGUUGUCCCCAUUGACAGAUGAGGAAACUGAGACUGCAUGUGAAGCAAAUUGCUCAUGGUCACACACCUUUGGGAUACAAAUCCCAAUCCUCUGACUCCAGAAAGAAGGCCUGUCUUCUUGCAUUAACUAUCAGAAAUGAGUAACAAAUCCACGCUCGUUCAGUCUUUUGAGCCACUGCUUAAGCUGUUUGCCUUUAGGUGACAAAUACCUCCACCAUCUCUGCUUACCCUUCCAGUUCUGGAAUAUUCCUCAAAGCCCUGGAGCCACCACAGAGGACCCAGAUUAUACCUACAAACAUCCAUGUCCCCCUUUCUAGCCAUGGCAUGGAACAGACUCUCUGUCACUUGUUCCAGCUUCUGAUCAGUGAGUCUACUCCACCUAACACUUUCUUUGUCAUCUUCUUUAUCUGUUCUUUCUUCUAAACAUGAUAGCAAGAGCUAAAUUUUUAAAUUGUCCUAUGCUUCUUUCUUUUUUAUACUUAGUGGUAGAAACAGUAAUUAUUUAAUAGAUUUAAUUUAAAAUUUUCUGCAUUUUUGUUGCCCAUCAUAUAUAACUAUACAUUAGAAGGAUAAUUUACUUUUUGGCUUUCCACUCUAUGAUGAUGAGAAUAAUCUACUUUAAAAUAAAACAAAAUUUCCAAUGGAAUUGAUGUUAUUCUAAAAAAAAUUAUAGUUUAUAAUAUUGCAUCAUGGAGCUCUACUAGUAUUCUUAUUAAUCUCAUAUAACAAGAAUCUUAGAUCCUGCAGGACGGAGAUGAAAUGAACAGUCAUGACUAUACCGCUGCAUUUUCUCUAACAAUAUCAAAUUUACCCUUAAUCAAUUUUUCUACCACCAUCAUGAAGAAGUUUGAAAAAAUGGAUUGGAGUUUUUCCUUCUCUCUCUGCUCUUGGACACACUUCAACAGAUCUUCUGUUAGGAGUGAAUUUGCCAAAAAGAGCCAACAGGAAGGUUCUAGAAUCGAAAGGCAACCAGAUAAACUACCUCAAGGAAAAAUACAAGCUGCUUGUGUAAACCCUGGUAGACAGCCUGUUGGCCAGGAUUCUCCAUAGGCAACCAGUUUUACAGGCCAGAAAUGGGCAGAACUUGAUGUUCCAGGCGCCAGAGCAAGGCAAGUGAUGUAUUUAACAACCAGCCUGGGCCACGGCAGGAAGACAGACAGACGUAAAGUAAAGCUGAAUCCAAAGUACACUCUGCAGGUCUCUGUGUCAGCCUAGAAGACUCCCUGCGCCCCAUCAUUGGGAAAGGAGGGAGGUACCACCCUGGUCUUAGAAUCACAGUGGGGGAAACGACCAGAGAGAGAGAGAUCUACUGAGGAGCAGAUACUCAGCCAAGCAGACAUGGGCCUUCAGAAAGAAAGAGGCCAAGAAAUAUUUGUUUACGUUAAAAAGAAAGCAUAAAAAAACAGAACUCAAGCUAGCAGAGGCCCUGGGAGAGCAGCUGGUCCAGCCCCUGCUCCUUGCCGCACAGAGAAGGCACAAGGCUAUGGCUGAGGCGGCCUAAUCUGGCCUGUGGGUCCGCUCCAGCAG
ensembl:lncRNA